GACGAACGCUGGCGGCGUGCUUAACACAUGCAAGUCGAACGGAAAGGCCCUGCUUUUGUGGGGUGCUCGAGUGGCGAACGGGUGAGUAACACGUGAGUAACCUGCCCUUGACUUUGGGAUAACUUCAGGAAGCUGGGGCUAAUACCGGAUAGGAGCUUCUGCUGCAUGGUGGGGGUUGGAAAGUUUCGGCGGUUGGGGAUGGACUCGCGGCUUAUCAGCUUGUUGGUGGGGUAGUGGCUUACCAAGGCUUUGACGGGUAGCCGGCCUGAGAGGGUGACCGGCCACAUUGGGACUGAGAUACGGCCCAGGCUCCUACGGGAGGCAGCAGUGGGGAAUAUUGCACAAUGGGCGGAAGCCUGAUGCAGCAACGCCGCGUGCGGGAUGACGGCCUUCGGGUUGUAAACCGCUUUCGCCUGUGACGAAGCGUGAGUGACGGUAAUGGGUAAAGAAGCACCGGCUAACUACGUG
rnacentral:rRNA from 1 species